AAUUAAAGAAGUGGGAGGAGAUGAAGAGACUACCCUAACCAAGAAAUUAAAAGUUUAAGAGUUGAAAAGAUCUGACCAAUGGGAUGCAAUCCAACAGACAAGAAUAUCAUAUAGAAACCCAUUUUCCUUUGGACUUUGACAAGCAAUAAACAAUAAGCAAUGAGCAAUAUCCAAGCAUCAUAAAUAUCAAGGCGUCAAAUAAAGAUAGCCAUAUCCAACAAAGCACUCCAGUAGUUAGCAGUCUUC
rnacentral:lncRNA from 1 species